rnacentral:rRNA from 1 species
AGGAUGAACGCUAGCGGCAGGCUUAAUACAUGCAAGUCGAGGGGCAGCGCAGUGUAGCAAUACAUGGGCGGCGACCGGCAAACGGGUGCGGAACACGUACAGAACCUUCCUUCGAGCGGGGAUAGGCCAGAGAAUUUGGAUUAAUACCCGUAGUAUUGCGGAGUGGCAUCACUUUGCAAUUAAAGAUUUAUCAUUAGAAGAUGGCUGUGCGGCUGAGUUAGUAGUUGGCGGGUAACGCCCACGAAGCCUGCGAUCAGUAC